GACGAACCGCCCGAACGUUGUUCGGAAUCACUGGGCUUAAAGGGAGCGUAGGCGGGUGCUCAAGUCCGGGGUGAAAUCCUCCAGCUCAACUGGAGAACUGCCUCGGAUACUGGGCGCCUCGAGGGUGGUAGGGGUAUGCGGAACUAUCGGUGGAGCGGUGAAAUGCGUUGAUAUCGAUAGGAACUCCGGUGGCGAAGGCGGCAUACUGGACCACAUCUGACGCUGAGGCGCGAAAGCCAGGGGAGCAAACGGG
rnacentral:rRNA from 1 species